GAUGAACGCUGGCGGCGUGCUUAACACAUGCAAGUCGAACGGAAAGGCCCAAGCUUGCUUGGGUACUCGAGCGGCGAACGGGUGAGUAACACGUGGGUGAUCUGCCCUGCACUUCGGGAUAAGCCUGGGAAACUGGGUCUAAUACCGGAUAGGACCACAUUUUGGAUGGUGUGGUGGAAAGUUUUUCGGUGUGGGAUGAGCUCGCGGCCUAUCAGCUUGUUGGUGGGGUAAUGGCCUACCAAGGCGUCGACGGGUAGCCGGCCUGAGAGGGUGUACGGCCACAUUGGGACUGAGAUACGGCCCAGACUCCUACGGGAGGCAGCAGUGGGGAAUAUUGCACAAUGGGCGCAAGCCUGAUGCAGCGACGCCGCGUGGGGGAUGACGGCCUUCGGGUUGUAAACUCCUUUCGCUAGGGACGAAGCGCAAGUGACGGUACCUGGAGAAGAAGCACCGGCUAACUACGUG
rnacentral:rRNA from 1 species